UACGAAGGGGGCUAGCGUUGCUCGGAAUCACUGGGCGUAAAGCGCACGUAGGCGGAUUGCUAAGUCAGGGGUGAAAUCCUGGAGCUCAACUCCAGAACUGCCCUUGAUACUGGCGGUCUCGAGUCCGGGAGAGGUGGGUGGAACUGCGAGUGUAGAGGUGAAAUUCGUAGAUAUUCGCAAGAACACCAGUGGCGAAGGCGGCUCACUGGCCCGGUACUGACGCUGAGGUGCGAAAGCGUGGGGAGCAAACAGG
rnacentral:rRNA from 1 species